rnacentral:rRNA from 1 species
GAUGAACGCUGGCGGCGUGCCUAAUACAUGCAAGUCGAGCGAACGGACGAGAAGCUUGCUUCUCUGAUGUUAGCGGCGGACGGGUGAGUAACACGUGGAUAACCUACCUAUAAGACUGGGAUAACUUCGGGAAACCGGAGCUAAUACCGGAUAAUAUUUUGAACCGCAUGGUUCAAAAGUGAAAGACGGUCUUGCUGUCACUUAUAGAUGGAUCCGCGCGGCAUUAGCUAGUUGGUAAGGUAACGGCUUACCAAGGCAACGAUGCAUAGCCGACCUGAGAGGGUGAUCGGCCACACAGGAACUGAGACACGGUCCAGAGACCUACGGGAGGCAGCAGUAGGGAAUCUGCCGCAAUGGGCGAAAGCCUGACGGAGCAACGCGGCGUGAGUGAUGAAGGUCUUCGGAGCGUAAAACUCUGUUAUUAGGGAAGAACAGAUGUGUAAGUAACUGUGCACGUCUUGACGGUACCGAAUCAGAAAGCCACGGCUAACUACGU